UAGCUGCCUUAAAACGCUGGGAUUGACUUAAACAACCUACCAGAGGUGAAUGAGUUAUUUGAUGAAGACAACCCAAUCUCAAAUCCUUUUGCUGGUAUUGACCAAGAGUAUCUCCAAUAUGAAUACUACAAGAAGGAGUUUAAUCUUGUGGAACCACAAAAGAUUGUUCUUGGAAAAUACCACACAAAGAAAAGAAGAGGAAAUAGAUUGAGAGAUGUCGAAAAAACAGAUGAUGCAUACUAUAUUCCCUUGUUGGAAAGUCUGCAACAGCUUCUUAAUGAUGAGUCAAUUCUUAACGAGGUGGAAAAUCCUCAUUUU